CCAUUGGCUCACAGAAUAACGGCACACUAUCAAAAAGGAAAGCUCGUUUUCCAGGGAAGAGUUGUUAAAAGUUCUCUUUCAUCUCACAGCAAGUUUGGAUAAAGCCACGGACUUGUGAUCCUGAACACUUGAGCAUGUCGUGGUCUGCCAAUUAAUGAGAUUCAUUUCCCACACACACAUUUGUAAACUGCUUUUGAAACAAGCUGGAGAGAACCGAGGCACUUUCUUUUUCUAAUUCCUCUUCCUUCCUGCUAGGCCAAAGAGGCUCGCUUCAUCCAGAUUUCUGUCCCUAGGCAUCUGCUGUGUGCCUUCUCAGGCACUGAUGGAGGUUUAAAAAAUGAAGAACUUCACAGAGAGAAGCUGAAAAGGGGAGUUUGAAACGGAAACUCUUCCAGUAAACUUUCCUUACGUUUUGAGUUCUGAGUAGUGGUAGGAUGAAAAUGUAAAGGAUGUCCACCUAAUGGCUUAAUAAGCAGAAGCUGUAAUAUUGCUUUAGCAACCACAUGAAGGCUGUCUUUGUAGUGCAUUGGCUUUGCGUGGGGAUAAAUUAAUGCAGUUGGAUACCUGCUUUUUCUGUGCAUUUUUCUUGGCAAGAGUCAGCACAGGAGGACCGUGUGCUCAGUUGUGAACAGUGUCUAAUUUUUCUUCCAGUACAGAGAGAAAUGUAACAGCAUCUGCUCUAGAAGCUGUCAGGAGAAAAAUGAUUUCCAUCUAUUCUCAGAUCGUAAGCUUUGGGGCAGUGCCUGUCAGAGCAUCAGUUCAGCAGUGUUCAUGCAAGUAGCCUCGUGUAAUGCUGACUGUUGUCUAGCAAGUUGCCACACCAGCUGAGAAGAUCAAGGAGACAUGCAAAUGCUCAGGAACACAUACAGAGGUCUUCUACUUACCUGAGAGGAGAAGAGCUACAAAGAAUUAAUAUGGUAUGUUCAUCAUUAGUGGCUACAUACUCUGGAAAGUUGUUUCUAGGUAAUCUUUGUUAGCAAACACGCUUCUGUAGUUAGUGAAGGCCUCUAACUGGACACCACAACUUAGCUCCACAGAGGUGCUCCAGAAGAGAAAUGUUUAUUAUCCUUUAAAUGGAAGAAGGGGCAGGGGAAAUCUGGAGCAGGUAGGCAAUACUGCAUGGGACUAGCUCUGCUGCAUGUCUUUAUCUUCGUGUUGUGAACACCCCGACUGUGAAAAGAAGUGUACUCCAUCCCUUGCUGCAAGGGUUGUUGCAAUUUUUAGUUAACUGCUUCAAGCUGAUCUGAGAUACCAGAAUGAAGUGACAUGGAAGGCAAAAUGCCUUUCAAUUCAUCACUUAAAAAAAGCAAUAUAGGUUGCCUGAAAAUAGGACUUUAUCUCAGCUAAGGGCAGAUGAUGAUAAAAGAACUUAGCCUGAUUGCUCAUGUGCUACCUUUUUGACUGGAAAUAAUGAUCUUGGACUGCUGCUCUGCCACAAGCUGUCAUAUGACUUAGGGAAAGUUACUUUUUCUCUGUGCUUCUUUUUUUCCCCUCUCAAUUGCAUAGGUGAUUCUUAAGCUGUUUGAAGAGCAG
rnacentral:lncRNA from 1 species